UAUAACUACUAAUGUACAUUACUUAUCUAUCUGGACUACUCUUAACAACCACUUAACAACCUAACUCUUUAAUAGAUUCUUCACAUCUUCAUAUCACAACACCCACAUUCAAGCUAGGUGGUGCAAAAAUAUUUAAAACUCUUAGCUUGAAUAGAAGAUGUUCAUGUUGCAAUCUAGACAAUCCUUUUGUCAAGACAUCAGCAGGUUGUCCUUGAGUAGGAAGGAUUCAUGAGAACUUCUUUGGUUGCUGGAAGAACUAACUCAAAGUUUGAGUACUAAAGGAUAUGUUAGGUCUAGUCAUGUUGAGAUACAGUAACUUGCCUAUUAAUUUCUGAUAUAUUGUCUGAUCUACCAAAGGAUUUUUUGAGUUUUUUUUAUUUUUGUUCGUAUGCUCAUCAUACUGUUUUGAUACCUAGAAAAUAUUUUAGCUCACUUAAAUAUUUCAUCUUAAAGGCUUGUUA